rnacentral:rRNA from 1 species
GAUGAACGCUAGCGACAGGCUUAACACAUGCAAGUCGAGGGGCAUCGGGGUUGUAGCUUGCUAUAACUGCCGGCGACCGGCGCACGGGUGAGUAACACGUAUGCAACCUGCCCGUUGCAGGGGGAUAAGCGGAAGAAAUUCCGUCUAAUACCGCGUAAUAUGGGCGAUAGGCAUCUAUCAUUCAUUAAAGAUUUAUCGGCAACGGAUGGGCAUGCGGUGCAUUAGCUAGCUGGCGGGGUAACGGCCCACCAAGGCGACGAUGCAUAGCCGGACUGAGAGGUUGAACGGCCACAUUGGGACUGAGACACGGCCCAGACUCCUACGGGAGGCAGCAGUGGGGGAUAUUGCACAAUGGAGGAAACUCUGAUGCAGCAACGCCGCGUGAGGGAAGAAGGUCUUCGGAUUGUAAACCUUUGUCUUUGGUGACGAACAAAUGACGGUAGCCAAGGAGGAAGCUCCGGCUAACUACGUGCCAGCAGCCG